rfam:Tolypothrix bouteillei VB521301 scaffold_11, whole genome shotgun sequence.
AGAGUAAGCUGAAAGUACCCUCCGAUUGCUUAACCAGACCGCCCUAAUCUAGUGGCGGUUU